GUCUGCCCCUUCCUUACUGGGAGGCUCAGUACAGAAUGCUUUGAGCGACUUGACCAGGAGGCUGUAGAGAAGCACUAAAAUUAAUUUUCCCAUCAGCUCAGUGCGAGCUCAGCAACGAGAAGGAAACGUCUGUAAUUUUAAUGAAGACCUCCAAAAACAGGUCAAGUUUUUAAAAGACACUUCGACAUUGGACAACAGCAAAGUUGUAUGCGAGACAUGUGGAGCACAUUUCUCCAUUGCCCUCAGCGGUCAAAAUGAUAUUACCCGGCACCUUCAAAGCAAGACCCAUAGAGAUGCUGAUAAAAACUGUACUGCAUUCUAUGACAAGUUGCUGAAAGACAAGCAAACCCUCAGAAAAAUAGCAUCGUCAGAGAAAUACAACUGGUAUCAAGCAGCUUCACACCCUGGAGAAUGGCAAGACAAGGAACAAUGCCAGUAAUUACUGACUUCUAAGUAAAAUAUAUGAAACAAC